AGCCCCAGCACCAGGAUUCCCAGGUGUUCCAAUCAGUACUCAGGACAGGACACAGACAACUCACCAUGGAGUUUGUGCUUGGCUGGGUUUUCCUUGUUGCUCUUUUAAAAGGUGUCCAGGGUGAGGUGGAGCUGGUGGAGUCUGGGGGAGACCUGGUGAAGCCUGGGGGAUCCCUGAGACUCUCCUGUGCAGCCUCUGGAUCCACCUUCAGUAGCUAUGCCAUGUACUGGGUCCGCCAGGCUCCAGGGAAGGGGCUGCAAUGGGUCGCAAUUAUUGGCAGUGAUGGAAGUAGCACAAGAUACGCAGACUCUGUGAAGGGCCGAUUCACCAUCUCCAGAGACAACGGCAAGAACACGCUGUAUCUGCAGAUGAACAGCCUGAGAGUGGAGGACACGGCCAUGUAUUACUGUGCAACAGACACAGUGAGGGGACAUCAGUGUGAGCCCAGACACAAACCUCACUGUCCACCCAGCUCAAUGUGCAAACUUGAUAGAAGCAGCACAACGUGCAUGCUGGACAUGAGGCUACGGAGGCAUCAACAAGCCAAAGUAAAAGAAGAAACGGUCUUGGUUUGGGAGUCACUGUCUUAA